rnacentral:rRNA from 1 species
GAUGAACGCUGGCGGCGUGCCUAAUACAUGCAAGUCGAGCGAACGGACGAGAAGCUUGCUUCUCUGAUGUUAGCGGCGGACGGGUGAGUAACACGUGGAUAACCUACCUAUAAGACUGGGAUAACUUCGGGAAACCGGAGCUAAUACCGGAUAAUAUUUUGAACCGCAUGGUUCAAAAGUGAAAGACGGUCUUGCUGUCACUUAUAGAUGGAUCCGCGCUGCAUUAGCUAGUUGGUAAGGUAACGGCUUACCAAGGCAACGAUGCAUAGCCGACCUGAGAGGGUGAUCGGCCACACUGGAACUGAGACACGGUCCAGACUCCUACGGGAGGCAGCAGUAGGGAAUCGUCCGCAAUGGGCGAAAGCCUGACGGAGCAACGCCGCGUGAGUGAUGACGGUCUUCGGAUCGUAAAACUCUGUUAUUAGGGAAGAACAUAUGUGUAAGUAACUGUGCACAUCUUGACGGUACCUAAUCAGAAAGCCACGGCUAACUACGUG